CGUACAUCCAGAGAACUUAGCAGAGAUGCUUGGUGCCUUCGGGAACUCUGAGACAGGUGCUGCAUGGCUGUCGUCAGCUCGUGUUGUGAAAUGUUGGGUUAAGUCCCGCAACGAGCGCAACCCUUAUCCUUUGUUGCCAGCGGUUCGGCCGGGAACUCAAAGGAGACUGCCGGUGAUAAACCGGAGGAAGGUGGGGAUGACGUCAAGUCAUCAUGGCCCUUACGGCCAGGGCUACACACGUGCUACAAUGGCGCAUACAAAGAGAAGCGACCUCGCGAGAGCAAGCGGACCUCAUAAAGUGCGUCGUAGUCCGGAUUGGAGUCUGCAACUCGACUCCAUGAAGUCGGAAUCGCUAGUAAUCGUAGAUCAGAAUGCUACGGUGAACACGUUCCCGGGCCUUGUACACACCGCCCGUCACACCAUGGGAGUGGGUUGCAAAAGAAGUAGGUAGCUUAACCUUCGGGAGGGCGCUUACCACUUUGUGAUUCAUGACUGGGGUGAAGUCGUAACAAGGUAGGCGUAGCGAG
rnacentral:rRNA from 1 species